rnacentral:rRNA from 1 species
GAUGAACGCUGGCGGCGUGCCUAAUACAUGCAAGUCGAGCGAACGGACGAGAAGCUUGCUUCUCUGAUGUUAGCGGCGGACGGGUGAGUAACACGUGGAUAACCUACCUAUAAGACUGGGAUAACUUCGGGAAACCGGAGCUAAUACCGGAUAAUAUUUUGAACCGCAUGGUUCAAAAGUGAAAGACGGUCUUGCUGUCACUUCUAGAUGGAUCCGGGCUGCAUUAGCUAGUUGGUAAGGUAACGGGUUACCAAGGCAACGAUGCAUAGCCGACCUGAGAGGGUGAUCGGCCACACUGGAACUGAGCCGCGGUCAAGACUCCUGCGGGAGGCAGCAGUAGGGAAUCUGCCGCAAUGGGGGAAAGCCUGACGGAGCAACGCCGCGUGAGUGAUGAAGGUCUUCGGAUCGUAAAGCUCUGUUAUUAGGGAAGAACAUAUGUGUAAGGAGCUGUGGACAUCGUGACGGUACCUAAUAAGAAAGCCACGGCUAACUACGUG